rnacentral:rRNA from 1 species
AUGAACGCUGGCGGCGUGCCUAAUACAUGCAAGUCGAACGCUUCACAUAUGUGAAGAGUGGCGAACGGGUGAGUAAUACAUAAGUAACCUGGCCUUUACAGGGGGAUAACUAUUGGAAACGAUAGCUAAGACCGCAUAGGUGUCAUAACCGCAUGGAGAUGACAUGAAAUAUGCUGCGGCAUAGGUAGAGGAUGGACUUAUGGCGCAUUAGCUAGUUGGAGGGGUAACGGCCCACCAAGGCGACGAUGCGUAGCCGACCUGAGAGGGUGACCGGCCACACUGGGACUGAGACACGGCCCAGACUCCUACGGGAGGCAGCAGUAGGGAAUUUUCGGCAAUGGGGGAAACCCUGACCGAGCAACGCCGCGUGAAGGAAGAAGUAAUUCGUUAUGUAAACUUCUGUCAUAGAGGAAGAACGGUGCGUGUAGGGAAUGACAUGCAAGUGACGGUACUCUAUAAGAAAGCCACGGCUAACUACGUGCCAGCAGCCGCGGUAAUACGUAGGUGGCGAGCGUUAUCCGGAAUUAUUGGGCGUAAAGAGGGAGCAGGCGGCACUAAGGGUCUGUGGUGAAAGAUCGAAGCUUAACUUCGGUAAGCCAUGGAAACUGUAGAGCUAGAGUGUGUGAGAGGAUCGUGGAAUUCCAUGUGUAGCGGUGAAAUGCGUAGAUAUAUGGAGGAACACCAGUGGCGAAGGCGACGAUCUGGCGCAUAACUGACGCUCAGUCCCGAAAGCGUGGGGAGCAAAUAGGAUUAGAUACCCUAGUAGUCCACGCCGUAAACGAUGAGUACUAAGUGUUGGGAGUCAAAUCUCAGUGCUGCAGUUAACGCAAUAAGUACUCCGCCUGAGUAGUACGUUCGCAAGAAUGAAACUCAAAGGAAUUGACGGGGGCCCGCACAAGCGGAGGAACAUGUGGUUUAAUUCGAUGAUACGCGAGGAACCUUACCCGGGCUUGAAUUGCAACUGAAUGAUGUGGAGACAUGUCAGCCGCAAGGCAGUUGUGAAGGUGCUGCAUGGUUGUCGUCAGCUCGUGUCGUGAGAUGUUGGGUUAAGUCCCGCAACGAGCGCAACCCUUAUGGUCAGUUACUACGCAAGAGGACUCUGGCCAGACUGCCGUUGACAAAACGGAGGAAGGUGGGGAUGACGUCAAAUCAUCAUGCCCCUUAUGACCUGGGCUACACACGUGCUACAAUGGACAGAGCAGAGGGAAGCGAAGCCGCGAGGUGGAGCGAAACCCAGAAAACUGUUCUCAGUUCGGACUGCAGUCUGCAACUCGACUGCACGAAGUUGGAAUCGCUAGUAAUCGCGAAUCAGCAUGUCGCGGUGAAUACGUUCUCGGGCCUUGUACACACCGCCCGUCACACCAUGAGAGUCGGUAACACCCGAAGCCGGUGGCCUAACCGCAAGGAAGGAGCUGUCUAAGGUGGGACUGAUGAUUGGGGUG